GGGAGAGGGAGACCGUGGGGAGAGGGAGAGGGGGAGGGGGAGGGAGAGGGCAGCGUGUAACCUUUGUAACUUCCCCCAGACUUGUUUUAUUGUAGGCUUUUUUCCUCAAUUACUUUCUCAACCUUAAUUUCCACCUAAAAUAAAUGGAUGCAGAUCAAACAAUGUAAAGCAGACUUUAAUUUUUUUUUUUUUAUAUUAUCAUCUUGAUAUUUAUUUCAGGGAGCUUCUGAUAAUUGGAGGUGUUGCAGCCCGGGAUCAGCUCUCUGUUUUGGAAAAUGGAGUAGAUAUAGUUGUAGGUACUCCGGGAAGACUAGAUGACUUGGUGUCAACUGGAAAGCUGAACUUAUCUCAAGUUAGAUUCCUGGUCCUGGAUGAAGCUGUAUGUUGAAAUAUAAUCAUACUUUUUAAAAAGUUUACUUAUAUUUUUUGAGAUAAAAUAUAUAAAAUGAAGAAGAAAUAUAAUUCAGUCAUGAUCCUACUACCUAGAGAUAAUCAUUGUUAUCAGUUUGGUAUAUUUUCAUAUACUUUUUAUUUAUAUAUUAUUUUAUGUAGUUGAAAUCAAGAUAUGAGGAAUCUGGGAAAAAUUUUAAAAAUGUAAUGUCAUAAGUAUUUCCUGUAAUUGUACAUAAUUUAUAAAUGCUGUCUAGUGGUCUAUUAUAUGGCUACUUCAUGGUAUAUUUAAUUACUCUUAUUUCUAGGUAUGUAGGCAGAUUUGAUUUUUGCUCCAAAUAACCAGCUUUGUUUGUACAUACAUUUUCUACAUACUAUAAAUUUGUUCCUUGUGUCAGAGAUACAAAAUGUAGACCAUCUGGAAGGACAUAAAUGUGUUUGAGUCUCUUAGACAUACUUCCAAAUCAUUUUCAGGUUGGGUUACCUAGUUCCUCAGCACUGAGGGUUUUUAAUUUUUUAUAUGAAAAGUCUGUUGAAGGAUAUAUGUUAGAAGCUGUUGACUGAAAUUUUCAUUCUAGAUUAUUAGAUUAUGGUUUUGGAUUGCUUAUUGUCACUUUUUCAUAUUUUAGUCACAAGAAACUUAAAAUUGAAUUUAUAAAUUAUCUUUAUCCAACAAAAUAAUUUUGAAAAUAUAGGACUAUGUAUAUGCAUGAAUUAGUUUCCUUAUAUUUUGUUUGAUUUAGAAAAAAGAUUUUUGAUACUGAUUAAAACUUACGUUUUUUUCCAUACUGAUUAAAAACUUAAUUUAUUCUUUGUUUCUCAUGCAGGAUGGGCUUCUUUCUCAAGGUUAUUCUGAUUUUAUAAAUAGGAUGCACAAUCAGAUUCCUCAGGUUACCUCUGAUGGAAAAAGACUUCAGGUGAUUGUUUGCUCUGCCACUUUGCAUUCUUUCGAUGUAAAGAAACUGUCCGAGAAGAUAAUGCAUUUUCCUACAUGGGUUGACUUAAAAGGAGAAGACUCUGUUCCAGAUACUGUACACCAUGUUGUUGUCCCAGUAAAUCCCAAAACUGACAGACUCUGGGAAAGGCUUGGAAAGAGCCACAUUAGAACUGAUGAUGUACAUGCAAAAGAUAACACAAGACCUGGUGCUAAUAGUCCAGGUGAGUUAAAAGAGUCAAAUGUGUUGAAAGAUUUUGAAAAUGAAAUUUAUACCUUACCUAUUCUCAUGAAGGAUGUGAGGUGACCUGCAAAAUUAAAACAGGAAAUUUG
rnacentral:lncRNA from 1 species